GAAACGGCACGUGGGCCCGGGCAGAGGCUGCUGGCGGUAGGUUCGCCCUGACGCCUUGGUGGUUCCCUGGCCGCGGCGACCGGUGGUCCCAUGUCCAUCCCGGCUCAGUGAGCUUCCCCGGGCCCUGUCUGGACAGGCCUGCCUGCGUGCUGGGACAUGUCUGGCCUCCAAGGACCGUCGGUGGGCGAUGGCUGCAACGGUGGAGGGGCCAGAGCUGGAGGCAGCUGCUGCCGCAGGAGAUGCUUCGGAGGAUUCGGAUGCAGGGUCCAGGGCGCUGCCUUUCCUGGGCGGCAACCGGCUGAGCUUGGACCUGUACCCCAGGGGCUGCCAGCAGCUGCUGCACCUGUGUGUCCAGCAGCCUCUUCAGCUGCUGCAGGUGGAAUUCUUGCGUCUGAGCACUCACGAGGACCCUCAGCUGCUGGAGGCCACCCUGGCCCAGCUGCCUCAGAGCCUGUCCUGCCUCCGCUCCCUGGUCCUCAAAGGGUCGAUCUGGACCUCGGACCCUGGCUCUGAGGGCCACAUCCGCCUCCCCCCUUCCCAGGAGGGCAACGCCGGGACACACUGGGUGCCUGUCUCCGGGGUGCCCUGACCAACCUGCCUGCUGGUCUGAGUGGCCUGGCCCAUCUGGCCCACCUGGACCUGAGCUUCAACAGCCUGGAGACACUGCCGGCCUGUGUCCUGCGGAUGCGAGGUCUGGGUGCACUCUUGCUGUCUCACAACUGCCUCUCUGAGCUGCCUGAGGCUCUGGGGGCC
rnacentral:sRNA from 1 species